rnacentral:rRNA from 1 species
CAAAGGGAAGCGAGACCGCGAGGUGGAGCAAAUCCCAGAAAUAACGUCUCAGUUCGGAUUGUAGUCUGCAACUCGACUACAUGAAGCUGGAAUCGCUAGUAAUCGCGAAUCAGAAUGUCGCGGUGAAUACGUUCCCGGGUCUUGUACACACCGCCCGUCAAGCCAUGGGAGCCGGGGGUACCUGAAGUGCGUAACCGCGAGGAGCGCCCUAGGGUAAACUGGUGACUGGGGCUAAGUCGUAACAAGGUAGC